rnacentral:rRNA from 1 species
GACAGAGGCCUCGAGCGUUAGGCGGAAUCACUGGGCUUAAAGCGUGUGUAGGCGGAUCGUUAAGUGCCUUGUGAAAUCCCACGGCUCAACCGUGGAACUGCUCGGCAUACUGGCGGUCUUGAGCCAUCUAGGGGUUGCUGGAACAAACGGUGGAGCGGUGAAAUGCGUAGAUAUCGUUUGGAACGCCAAUGGUGAAAACAGGCAACUGGGGAUGUGCUGACGCUGAGACACGAAAGCCAGGGGAGCAAACGGG